GACGAACGCUGGCGGCGUGCUUAACACAUGCAAGUCGAACGGAAAGGCCCUGCUUGCAGGGUACUCGAGUGGCGAACGGGUGAGUAACACGUGGGUGAUCUGCCCUGCACUUCGGGAUAAGCCUGGGAAACUGGGUCUAAUACCGGAUAGGAGCCAUUUUUAGUGUGAUGGUUGGAAAGUUUUUUCGGUGUAGGAUGAGCUCGCGGCCUAUCAGCUUGUUGGUGGGGUAAUGGCCUACCAAGGCGGCGACGGGUAGCCGGCCUGAGAGGGUGGACGGCCACAUUGGGACUGAGAGACGGCCCAGACUCCGACGGGAGGCAGCAGUGGGGAAUAUUGCACAAUGGGCGCAAGCCGGAUGCAGCGACGCCGCGUGGGGGAGGACGGCCUUCGGGUUGGAAACUCCUUUCGCUAGGGACGAAGCUUUUUGUGACGGUACCUAGAUAAGAAGCACCGGCUAACUACGUG
rnacentral:rRNA from 1 species